UACGUAGGGUGCAAGCGUUAAUCGGAAUUACUGGGCGUAAAGCGUGCGCAGGCGGUGAUGUAAGACAGGUGUGAAAUCCCCGGGCUUAACCUGGGAACUGCAUUUGUGACUGCAUCGCUGGAGUGCGGCAGAGGGGAUGGAAUUCCGCGUGUAGCAGUGAAAUGCGUAGAUAUGCGGAGGAACACCGAUGGCGAAGGCAAUCCCCUGGGCCUGCACUGACGCUCAUGCACGAAAGCGUGGGGAGCAACAGG
rnacentral:rRNA from 1 species